rnacentral:rRNA from 1 species
AGAGUUUGAUCAUGACUCAGGAUGAACGCUAGCGGCAGGCUUAACACAUGCAAGUCGAGGGGCAGCGGGGUGUAGCAAUACACUGCCGGCGACCGGCGCACGGGUGCGUAACGCGUAUGCAACCUACCCAUAACAGGGGCAUAACACUGAGAAAUUGGUACUAAUUCCCCAUAACAUUCGAAGAGGCAUCCCUUUGGGUUGAAAACUCCGGUGGUUAUGGAUGGGCAUGCGUUGUAUUAGCUAGUUGGG